GCCUCUUUGGCCAAGUUGGUAAGGCGCUGCACUCGUAUUUUGAAUGCGCUAUGCAGCGAUCGUCGGUUCGACUCCGACAGGGGGCA